rnacentral:rRNA from 1 species
GAUUACCUCAGUAACGGCGAGUGAAGCGGUAACAGCUCAAAUUUGAAAUCUGGGUCUUUCAGGCUCCGAGUUGUAAUUUGUAGAAGAUGCUUUGGGUGCGGUCCCGGUCUAAGUUCCUUGGAACAGGACGUCAUAGAGGGUGAGAAUCCCGUAUGUGAUCGGUGGCUUGCGCCCGUGUAAAGCUCUUUCGACGAGUCGGGUUGUUUGGGAAUGCAGCUCUAAAUGGGUGGUAAAUUUCAUCUAAAGCUAAAUAUUGGCCAGAGACCGAUAGCGCACAAGUAGAGUGAUCGAAAGAUGAAAAGCACUUUGGAAAGAGAGUUAAACAGUACGUGAAAUUGUUGAAAGGGAAGCGCUUGCAACCAGACUUGCGCGGGGUUGAUCAUCCGGGGUUCUCCCCGGUGCACUCGGCCUCGCUCAGGCCAGCAUCGGUUUCGGUGGUUGGAUAAAGGCCUUGGGAAUGUGACUUCUUUCGGGGAGUGUUAUAGCCCUCGGUGCAAUGCAGCCUACCGGGACCGAGGACCGCGCUUCGGCUAGGAUGCUGGCGUAAUGGUUGUAAGCGACCCGUCUUGAAACACGGACCAAGGAGUCUAACAUCUAUGCGAGUGUUUGGGCGUCAAACCCAUACGCGUAAUGAAAGUGAACGGAGGUGAGAACCCUUAAGGGUGCAUCAUCGACCGAUCCUGAUGUCUUCGGAUGGAUUUGAGUAAGAGCAUAGCUGUUGGGACCCGAAAGAUGGUGAACUAUGCCUGAAUAGGGUGAAGCCAGAGGAAACUCUGGUGGAGGCUCGCAGCGGUUCUGACGUGCAAAUCGAUCGUCAAAUUUGGGCAUAGGGGCGAAAGACUAAUCGAACC